AACUCAACGUUUACAUUGGCCGUGAAAAUGGCUGCAAACAGAUGCGCAAUUAUACAACCAUCUUUAAACAUUAUACAAACAUCUUUUCUGAAUGGUUUGUGUGCAAUAAGUGGACGGACAUCAAGGAAAUCAGCAAAACAGCAUAAGUUUAGGACAACGAAGCCAUCUGAUGAUCCUGAUUUCCCACAGUCAGCAGACCGAAGAGUGAGAUGGCGGGUAAUUCGGACCGCCAGUCUCUCAUAAACUCACUUCCUGGUCCGUCUCUGACGCGAGGUCCAGGUGGAGGAUCCC